rnacentral:rRNA from 1 species
CCUACGGGAGGCAGCAGUAGGGAAUCUUCCGCAAUGGACGAAAGUCUGACGGAGCAACGCCGCGUGAGUGAUGAAGGUUUUCGGAUCGUAAAACUCUGUUGUUAGGGAAGAACAAGUACCGUUCGAAUAGGGCGGUACCUUGACGGUACCUAACCAGAAAGCCACGGCUAACUACGUGCCAGCAGCCGCGGUAAUACGUAGGUGGCAAGCGUUGUCCGGAAUUAUUGGGCGUAAAGCGCGCGCAGGCGGUUUCUUAAGUCUGAUGUGAAAGCCCCCGGCUCAACCGGGGAGGGUCAUUGGAAACUGGGGAACUUGAGUGCAGAAGAGGAGAGUGGAAUUCCACGUGUAGCGGUGAAAUGCGUAGAGAUGUGGAGGAACACCAGUGGCGAAGGCGACUCUCUGGUCUGUAACUGACGCUGAGGCGCGAAAGCGUGGGGAGCGAACAGGAUUAGAUACCCUGGUAGUCCACGCCGUAAACGAUGAGUGCUAAGUGUUAGAGGGUUUCCGCCCUUUAGUGCUGCAGCAAACGCAUUAAGCACUCCGCCUGGGGAGUACGGUCGCAAGACUGAAACUCAAAGGAAUUGACGG